rnacentral:misc_RNA from 1 species
UUAACGAUUCAUGUGUUACUCAGACGUCAUGUUUGAACAGAGUUUGGGGUCCUCUGACGGGCGCGGACCAGCCGGAGCCGGCAGUCCCGGAGGACAGGCCCGUCAAAGCAACAGAGUUGAGUAGACAGAGGGUUGGAGAUCUACCCCGGAGGGCACGUUCUCAUUAAUGAUCCUUCCGCAGGUUCACCUACGGAAA